UGCAUUUAUAGUGUAAUGGAUAGCACAUAAGAUUCCGGUUCUUAAGAUGAGGGUUCGAUUCCCUCUAAAUGCAU
rnacentral:tRNA from 1 species